rnacentral:tRNA from 1 species
GGAAGCAUGCCUGAAAGCUAAGGACCUCCUUGAUAGGGAGAACUAUAGGUGUUCAAAUCACCUUGCUUCCC